GACGUAGGGCGCGAGCGUUGUCCGGAAUUACUGGGCGUAAAGGGCUCGUAGGCGGCCAACUAAGUCAUACGUGAAAUCCCUCGGCUUAACCGGGGAACUGCGUCUGAUACUGGAUGGCUUGAGUUCGGGAGAGGGAUGCGGAAUUCCAGGUGUAGCGGUGAAAUGCGUAGAUAUCUGGAGGAACACCGGUGGCGAAGGCGGCAUCCUGGAGCCGAUACUGACGCUGAGGAGCGAAAGCCAGGGGAGCAAACGGG
rnacentral:rRNA from 1 species